rnacentral:rRNA from 1 species
UGGGGAAUAUUGCACAAUGGGCGCAAGCCUGAUGCAGCCAUGCCGCGUGUAUGAAGAAGGCCUUCGGGUUGUAAAGUACUUUCAGUCGUGAGGAAGGUGGUAGUGUUAAUAGCACUAUCAUUUGACGUUAGCGACAGAAGAAGCACCGGCUAACUCCGUGCCAGCAGCCGCGGUAAUACGGAGGGUGCGAGCGUUAAUCGGAAUUACUGGGCGUAAAGCGCAUGCAGGUGGUUUGUUAAGUCAGAUGUGAAAGCCCGGGGCUCAACCUCGGAAUAGCAUUUGAAACUGGCAGACUAGAGUACUGUAGAGGGGGGUAGAAUUUCAGGUGUAGCGGUGAAAUGCGUAGAGAUCUGAAGGAAUACCGGUGGCGAAGGCGGCCCCCUGGACAGAUACUGACACUCAGAUGCGAAAGCGUGGGGAGCAAACAGG